GGGGGCGAAACGGAUUCGACGGGGAUAUGCAAGCUCAUCGUUGCAUGCCGAGCUUCUGUCUGCUCGUAAAACGACGGAAUUUAAUUAUAAUCGCCGACGAUUAUAACUACGCAGUAGCAGCUUAACCUGCUCUGCCGUUCCCCCGGUGCUCACCCGCUGUGCCGGUACGGAGCGUCGACUCCGCGGGUUGGUCGUCCGGGCGCGCCUGUCGCCCGGUUGACGAGAUAAAGCAGGCUAGCGUCAGGCUAUCCUGGUUCCAUGAGAGUCCCUGACGCGAAACCCAAUCAAGGAACUACGCAUGUAGAUACGUGAGGGGAGUAUUUCCGGACGCGGGUUCGACUCCCGCCGCCUCCACCA
rnacentral:tmRNA from 1 species